CCGUCGAAGGUGGGACGAAUGAUUGGGGUGAAGUCGUAACAAGGUAGCCGUAUCGGAAGGUGCGGCUGGAUCACCUCCUUUCUAAGGA
rnacentral:rRNA from 1 species